rnacentral:tRNA from 1 species
AAACUGGUAUAACAUAAUUCAACUGAUAUGUCAUACUUUUAUUUCAAGUAUUUUAAUACAAUAUAUAACCAGUUUU